rnacentral:sRNA from 1 species
CACAUACAGAGUGUCAUAUGCCUUGUUGAUAGCUUGAAAGUAAACAAUCCUCCAUGUCUUCACAAACAGCAAGCUGCAGAACACCAUCCAAAGCCCAACAACAAAUCCCAAAGCAAGACCAAGGUAAAACGACAUUGUGUCAGAUAAACCUUUGCCUUCGUGAAGAUCAGGCUGGCUAGUUCUGUUCUUUUCGGAUGAACAAUUUUUUUGCAGAGGAGGGCCACAAAGUCCAGCAUUGCCAAUGUAGAUGUACGCUGGAUUAGCAAGAGCCUGAAGCUGGUUCCCUGAAGGUAUUCUUCCUGAUAGAUUAUUGUAGGACAAGUUCAGUUGACUCAAUGAAGUUAAAUCUGACAAACUUGAAGGGAUUUCACCAGAAAGCACGUUAAUCGACAAGUCGAGAGAUUCCAGCUUUUGUAAAGCUCCAAUUUUCCGAGGAAUUGUCCCGGUAAGACGGUUCAUGGACAGGUUCAGGUUGACUAGCCCAGUUAGAGAUGACAGCUCAUCAGGGAUACUUCC